GCGUGGAAGGUUUGAAGACAGAUUGUGCCGGCAACAAACUAACGGUGAAGGGGGAAGUGGACCCAGCAAAAAUCAAAGCCAGGCUUGAAGAGAAGACCAAGAGGAAAGUCGAGAUUAUCUCUCCCCAACCUAAGAAAGACGAUGGUGCCGCUGCCAAAGUUAUUUCCGUUUACAAGCUGGACAUGUAUUGUGAAGGCUGUGCCAAGGAAAUUAGACACGCCGUUAAACAUUUAGAAGGUGAUUUUUAUUUAUUUAUAGCAACUAACAUUUAGCAAUCUAAGAAUUAAUCUAUCUGAGUUUGAUUUUCCGGUUGCUAAGACGAUGUUUUUGUGGGUUUAUUCAGGCGUGGAAGGUUUGAAGACAGAUUGUGCCGGCAACAAACUAACGGUGACGGGGAAAGUGGACCCAGCAAAAAUCAAAGCCAGGCUUGAAGAGAAGACCAAGAGGAAAGUCGAGAUUAUCUCUCCCCAACCUAAGAAAGACGAUGGUGCCGCCGCCAAAGUUAUUUCCGUUUACAAGCUGGACAUGUAUUGUGAAGGCUGUGCCAAGGAAAUUAGACACGCCGUUAAACAUUUAGAAGGUGAUUUUUAUUUAUUUAUAGCAACUAACAUUUAGCAAUCUAAGAAUUAAUCUAUCUGAGUUUGAUUUUCCGGUUGCUAAGACGAUGUUUUUGUGGGUUUAUUCAGGCGUGGAAGGUUUGAAGACAGAUUGUGCCGGCAACAAACUAACGGUGACGGGGAAAGUGGACCCAGCAAAAAUCAAAGCCAGGCUUGAAGAGAAGACCAAGAGGACUUGGAAAGUCGAGAUUAUCUCUCCCCAACCUAAGAAAGACGAUGGUGCCGCUGCAAAAAUCAAAGCCAGGCUUGAAGAGAAGACCAAGAGGAAAGUCGAGAUUAUCUCUCCCCAACCUAAGAAAGACGAUGGUGCCGCUGCAAAAAUCAAAGCCAGGCUUGAAGAGAAGACCAAGAGGAAAGUCGAGAUUAUCUCUCCCCAACCUAAGAAAGACGAUGGUGCCGCUGCAAAAAUCAAAGCCAGGCUUGAAGAGAAGACCAAGAGGAAAGUCGAGAUUAUCUCUCCCCAACCUAAGAAAGACGAUGGUGCCGCUAAGAAACCCGAAAAGAAACCGGAGGGGAAUAAGGAAGAAGCGAAAAAACCACCUCCAGAGGUAAAUAAAUAAAUAAAUUACUGCCUACUAAGAUUUAAUCGUGAAUAUAGACGUUGAUUAUCCUUUUGUUUUCUAUUGUUAGUACUUUUUAACUAAUUUUUAAUAACUCUUGGUAGUUGCAGAGUACCGUCGUUUUGAAAAUCAGGCUGCACUGUGAAGGUUGCAUUUCAAAAAUAAAGAAAACCAUCUCCGAAAUCAAAGGUAAUUAGUUAAUUAUACAUUUGAUUAUUACAUCAAACUAACAUAUUAAAUCUGAAUAUUCAAAGUCGG
rnacentral:lncRNA from 1 species